AGUCAUAUGCUUGUCUCAAAAAUUAAGCCAUGCAUGUCUAAGUACAAGCCGUCCAGUACGGUGAAACCGCGAAAGGCUCAUUAAAUCAGUUAUGGUUCCUUAGAUCGUACCCACGUUACAUGGAUAACUGUGGUAAUUCUAGAGCUAAUACAUGCCGAUAGAGCUCUAACCAGUACGCCAUAUACUCGGGUUCGUCCGGAGUUUUGGCUGCUCGGAAGGAGCGCUUUUAUUAGAUCAAAACCGACCGAGCGCUCCGUCGUGCCUCGCGCAUGACGGUGCGUAAGCGGCCUACGCAAAGAAUUGAUGACUCUGAAUAACUUUUAGCCGAUCGCACGGUCCUAGUACCGGCGACGUAUCUUUCAAAUGUCUGCCUUAUCAACUGUCGACGGUAGGUUCUACGCCUACCGUGGUGGUAACGGGUAACGGGGAAUCAGGGUUCGAUUCCGGAGAGGGAGCCUGAGAAACGGCUACCACAUCCAAGGAAGGCAGCAGGCGUGAAAAUUAUCCAUUUACGGCCAGUAGAGAUAGUGACGAAAAAUAACGAUACGGGACUCAUCCGAGGCCCCGUAAU
rnacentral:rRNA from 1 species